rnacentral:rRNA from 1 species
UACGUAGGCAGCAAGCGUUGUUCGGAGUUACUGGGCGUAAAGGGUGUGUAGGCGGGCCUUUAAGUCAGGGGUGAAAUGCCAAGGCUCAACCUUGGAACUGCCUUUGAUACUGGAGAUCUUGAGUCCGGGAGAGGUGAGUGGAACUGCGAGUGUAGAGGUGAAAUUCGUAGAUAUUCGCAAGAACACCAGUGGCGAAGGCGGCUCACUGGCCCGGAACUGACGCUGAGACGCGAAAGCGUGGGGAGCAAACAGG